GGAGGCAGCAGUGGGGAAUAUUGCACAAUGGGCGCAAGCCUGAUGCAGCCAUGCCGCGUGUGUGAAGAAGGCCUUCGGGUUGUAAAGCACUUUCAGCGGGGAGGAAGGCGGUGAGGUUAAUAACCUCACCGAUUGACGUUACCCGCAGAAGAAGCACCGGCUAACUCCGUGCCAGCAGCCGCGGUAAUACGGAGGGUGCAAGCGUUAAUCGGAAUUACUGGGCGUAAAGCGCACGCAGGCGGUCUGUCAAGUCGGAU
rnacentral:rRNA from 1 species